rnacentral:rRNA from 1 species
AUUGAACGCUGGCGGCAUGCCUUACACAUGCAAGUCGAACGGUAACAGGUCUUCGGAUGCUGACGAGUGGCGAACGGGUGAGUAAUACAUCGGAACGUGCCCGAGAGUGGGGGAUAACGAGGCGAAAGCUUUGCUAAUACCGCAUACGAUCUCAGGAUGAAAGCAGGGGACCGCAAGGCCUUGCGCUCACGGAGCGGCCGAUGGCAGAUUAGGUAGUUGGUGGGAUAAAAGCUUACCAAGCCGACGAUCUGUAGCUGGUCUGAGAGGACGACCAGCCACACUGGGACUGAGACACGGCCCAGACUCCUACGGGAGGCAGCAGUGGGGAAUUUUGGACAAUGGGCGCAAGCCUGAUCCAGCCAUGCCGCGUGCAGGAUGAAGGCCUUCGGGUUGUAAACUGCUUUUGUACGGAACGAAAAGACUCCUUCUAAUAAAGGGGGUCCAUGACGGUACCGUAAGAAUAAGCACCGGCUAACUACGUGCCAGCAGCCGCCGUAACAC